AUUCAUUGUAGAUAUCUUGAAUUGAAUCUCCAUACAACUCUAUGGUAAAUCUGAUGUCAUUUCGACUAGUCAGAAUGUAAUUAGAGAUAUCUCAAAUAGGUAUUUUGUCUAGUCAAAGAUAUUAGAGAUAUUAGAGAUAUCUUAGAUCGCUAAAACGUCUAGUCAUAAGACAAUUUGAGAUAUCUGGAAUGUAAGGGCGGCAAAAUCGAAUUUAUGUUGAAACGGCUUGCCAAAGUAUGCCCUCUAUGGCAAGCUGUUUUAGCAUAAAUUCGGUUUUGCCGCCCUUACAUUCCAGACUUUUGCUUUUAACAUCUCCAUUUGGGUUUUAAUUCACCACUUCAUGAUAAUUUUACUCUUUCACCAGAGUCAUCUGGCGGGCUGAUGAGUUUAAACUUAAAUGGCGUGUUCUGUGUUAUUGUGUUUUACAUUGCUUUGUCACCAUUGAUUAUUCAGGUAAUCCUGUGCAUGAGGGGACAGAAACCAGGAGCUCCAAAAUUAACCUGAAUUGGAGCUUGUCUGAACUGAAUAACUUUGUGUGUCAAAGCUACACACACAUCAGCCUAAAUCUGGUUGGCUUUGAACUGGCAAGAUGUGGAAAAGGACGAAAGGUAAAAAAAAAUUACAAGUGAAUUCUGUGAGGGAGCUGAAGGAAAAGGUUGGCAAAAGCAGACUCUACAUUCUACCACGAGCAGAUGUGUCACAGGUAUGAUUGUUUUGUACACAAAAAUAAUUUCAUGUAGUAUGGUAUAUCCAGAGUAAUAUCUUCCACUAUAAUUUGAAAUGUCUUGGCCAUGUCUAGGAAACCUAAGCAAUGUCCAGGAGUUUGUUUCCAAAACCCUCAACUGCACCAGAAGUACAGGAUAUCUCUCCAGAGGCUGAGAGUACCAACAGACAACAUUUAGGGGAAGAGCAGACACUGCUAGAUUGGCGAUCUCUGCGGUCCCAGCAAGACGAAGAGUCUGAAGAGUCUUUGUUAGCAGACCAAGAAAAAGAAAGGAGAAAACAGUGUUACAAGACCUGGGAGGAAAGACGCAUAAAAGUAAGAACUAUUACAUUGCUAGGAUGAUAGUGGUUUAUG